rnacentral:RNase_P_RNA from 1 species
CCAGAGGAUCGGGCGACCGCGGCUCCCCGCAAGGGGGGGCGAGGAAAGUCCGGGCUCCAUGAAACAGCGGUGCCGGGUAACGCCCGGCGGGGGCGACCCCAGGGACAGUGCCACAGAGAGCAGACGGCGACCGCUUCGGCGACGUCAGGGUGAAAGGGUGCGGUAAGAGCGCACCGCGCGACCGGUAACGGAAGCGGCAUGGUAAACCCCACCGGGAGCAAGACCGAAUAGGGACGGCGCAUGGGCGUGUUUCCGCCCGUCGUCCGGGUUGGUUGCUGGAGGCGAUGCGCAAGCAUCGUCCUAGAGGAAUGGUCGCCCAUCCUGCCUCGCGCAGGAGGACAGAACCCGGCUUACAGAUCCUCUGGCUAU